rnacentral:tRNA from 1 species
CAGGACGUAGCUAAAAGGAUAGCAUCUCCCUUACGCGGAGGAGUCACCAGUGCAAACCCGGUCGGCCUGA